rnacentral:rRNA from 1 species
AGAGUUUGAUCAUGGCUCAGGACGAACGCUGGCGGCGUGCCUAAUACAUGCAAGUCGAGCGCGGGAAGCAGGUUGAUCCUCUUCGGAGGUGACACCUGUGGAACGAGCGGCGGAUGGGUGAGUAACACGUGGGCAACCUGCCUAUAAGCUCGGGAUAACUCGCGGAAACGCGAGCUAAUACCGAAUAAUACUUUGCUUCGCAUGAAGCAAAGAUAAAAGAUGGCUUUUCGCUGUCACUUAUAGAUGGGCCCGCGUCGCAUUAGUUAGUUGGUGAGGUAAAGGCUCACCAAAGCAACGAUGCGUAGCCGACCUGAGAGGGUGAUCGGCCACACUGGGACUGAGACACGGCCCAGACUCCUACGGGAGGCAGCAGUAGGGAAUCUUCCGCAAUGGACGAAAGUCUGACGGAGCAACGCCGCGUGAGUGAUGAAGGUCUUCGGAUCGUAAAACUCUGUUGUCAGGGAAGAACAAGUACUAGCCGAAUAAGUUAGUACCUUGACGGUACCUGACCAGAAAGCCCCGGCUAACUACGUGCCAGCAGCCGCGGUAAUACGUAGGGGGCAAGCGUUGUCCGGAAUUAUUGGGCGUAAAGCGCGCGCAGGCGGUCUUUUAAGUCUGAUGUGAAAUCUUGUGGCUUAACCACAAGCUGCCAUUGGAAACUGAAGACUUGAGUCAGAAGAGGAGAGUGGAAUUCCACGUGUAGCGGUGAAUGCGUA